GACGAACGCUGGCGGCGUGCCUAAUACAUGCAAGUCGAACGCUUCUUUUCCCACCGGAGCUUGCUCCACCGGGAAAAGAGGAGUGGCGAACGGGUGAGUAACACGUGGGUAACCUGCCCAUCAGAAGGGGAUAACACUUGGAAACAGGUGCUAAUACCGUAUAACAAUCGAAACCGCAUGGUUUCGUUUUGAAAGGCGCUUUACGGUGCCGCUGAUGGAUGGACCCGCGGUGCAUUAGCUAGUUGGUGAGGUAACGGCUCACCAAGGCCACGAUGCAGAGCCGACCUGGGAGGGUGAUCGGCCACAUUGGGACUGAGACACGGCCCAAACUCCUACGGGAGGCAGCAGUAGGGAAUCUUCGGCAAUGGACGAAAGUCUGACCGAGCAACGCCGCGUGAGUGAAGAAGGUUUUCGGAUCGUAAAACUCUGUUGUUAGAGAAGAACAAGGGUGAGAGUAACUGUUCACCCCUUGACGGUAUCUAACCAGAAAGCCACGGCUAACUACGUGCCAGCCGCCGCCGUAA
rnacentral:rRNA from 1 species